GCUGGACCUGAGCGCUUAUGUCAUCCAAGAAGAAGGAGUGAUGGUUCUGAGUUUGGGACUGCGCGGCCAUCAUUGCAAAGUGGAUACACUGAGUUUAAAUCAGUGCAAGCUGGGAGAGAGCUGCUGAGCAGCUUUGGCUUCAAUCUUCAAAUCAGGCUCUUCUCAGCUAAAAAUUCUGGAUUUAAGCCUUAACAACUUGAAGGAUGCUUGUGUAGUGCUGCUUGUAGCUGGACUGACAACCCCAAACUGCAAGCUGGAAAUUCUCAGACUCAGCUGGUGUGGCCUGACACAGAAAUCCUGUAGUUACAUUAGUUCAACUCUCAGCACAGAUUUCUGCCAAGUCAGAGAGUUGGACUUAAGUGGGAACAACCUGAGCGGUAGAGGGUGACACAGGAGUGGAUUUUCUCUCCUGUCCCAUCCCGCUCCCACAGAAAAAUGUCUUGUACCAUCCCAAUCCCAGGCCAGCAUAACGAAAAAAAUCCUGUCCCAUCCCACUCCUGGUAAAUUG